GAGCGAGCAGAAUUGUAAAAGAAAAACACAGGCACACACGAGCACGAGGGCUCGCCUUCGAUGCGUACGGGUACGCCGCUGCCGCCUCCGCACGCGGCCUCUCCGGCCAUCCGCCGCCACUGCCGCGCGCCGCCUCUCUGCCAUCCGCCUAUUCUCUUUCCCCUCCCCAUCCGUACCAAUCUUCUCCGGCGCCACCUGAAGCCUCCUCAACCUCCAAUCUCAUGCUGUCAAGCCCUUCCAAUCUCGCCGGAACAUGGACUUAACUGAAACGCCGUCCUGCUAGCCGUGCCCACUUGAGCGAGGAGAGAGUGGUGAGGCGGCUUAGGUGAGGCUCGGGACGGCAUCUCGCAUGUAACUACGCCACCCCUGCAUCUCUAUGCUAAUCUGAGUGCAGUACUCUGCCUAAUGCUCUACUUCUCCUCGAAAAUAUCUCUUGAAUGCCCCAUGUUUGGUUUGCACUUAUGAUGUCCGACAAUAUGCCUAAGCAGUGACCGCAUCAAUGCUGAUAUACAGUUCUUUAUCUCGUGUAUGAUUAUUAUGAUGUAUGAGAGGCUUGAGUGAAGGGAUCCUUAAUUAAUUUGUCCACAUGUAGCCCAAGGAUUUGGGAGUUUAGGGUUUGUUAUGAGUAGUUAGCUGCCUAUGAUGUGUGCCCAAACAAAUUGUCAUGUUUGUGGUAAAUCAUUAUGAACAGUUGUUUUUCCUGUGGCGCCGUCCAAGUGGGCCGAGGCCAGCGGCUACCACCAUGGUGUCGUCCUUCUUCUAGACGUUCAUCGCGGGUCCAGAUUCAUGAUGACGGCACCGCAUCUAGCGAUGACGCGAGCUCAUGUGGGCGCUGCAACUUCCGAGAACACGGGAGUCUCCAUGGCCAGCGAGUACGUGAGCACACUCACACACCACAACUCUCAAGGAUGCGGGAGCCGCCUCGGCCGGCGAGGACUCCUGAACCAUGCUCAGAACGACUGUGUUCAGCAACUGUCAGACUUUGGUGGUGUACCCCGGCUGCCAAACCAUGCUUUGCCAACCUACUAGAGAAAAGGCGAGGCUCACCAAGGGAUGAUCCUUCCAUUGGAAGGGAAAUUAAUUUGCAUGCCUGAUUAUGGAAAAAAGAAGCCCUUCUGAACAUUACUUAUCCUCGAUGAGGGGGACCAACCAAAAGAGGUAGUCCGUGCUGAACUUGGAAUGGGAUAAUGGAAAACUAUUUGUUGUUACAUUCUAAUUUCAGUUGCUUUUGAGUUUUAGUAUUUUUUCCUUUUAGCAUGGUAAUUUGCUGGGACCUAGGAGUCUUGAUUUUAAUUAUUGCAGGAUGAUAAUCAGUUUUAUGUCGGUUUUAUCUUCUCAGGAGCAAGCAAAUUAUAGGUUCGUAGCAAACCUUUCAGCUGCUGCUGUGGUCCUCUUAUUAUUGUUAUAAAGUUCAAAAACCAUCAAUCUCAGGAAUGUUGUGACCAUGUAUUCGAUUCUAUUGAAGACCCAAUAUAUGAUAAGGUGCUAUUUUCAUUUGCUAUGCUGAGCAACCAUGAAAAACUCUGUCCAAUUCAUAAUUUGAAUUACUCAUGUGUGUUCUUUA